UACGUAGGGGUCAAGCGUUGUCCGGAUUUAUUGGGCGUAAAGAGCGUGUAGGCGGCCAUACAGGUCCGUUGUGAAAACUGGAGGCUUAACCUCCAGACGUCGAUGGAAACCGUAUGGCUAGAGUCCGGAAGAGGAGAGUGGAAUUCCUGGUGUAGCGGUGAAAUGCGCAGAUAUCAGGAAGAACACCCGUGGCGAAUGCGGCUCUCUGGGACGGUACUGACGCUGAGACGCGAAAGCGUGGGGAGCGAACAGG
rnacentral:rRNA from 1 species